rnacentral:rRNA from 1 species
ACGUAGGGCGCGAGCGUUGUCCGGAUUUAUUGGGCGUAAAGAGCUCGUAGGCGGCUUGUCGCGUCGACUGUGAAAACCCGUGGCUCAACCAUGUGGUCUGCAGUCGAUACGGGCAGGCUAGAAUUCGGUAGGGGAGACUGGAAUUCCUGGUGUAGCGGUGAAAUGCGCAGAUAUCAGGAGGAACACCGGUGGCGAAGGCGGGUCUCUGGGCCGAUAUUGACGCUGAGGAGCGAAAGCGUGGGGAGCAAACAGGAUUAGAUACCCUGGUAGUCCACGCUGUAAACGUUGGGCGCUAGGUGUGGGGGGCCUCUCCGGUUCUCUGUGCCGCAGCUAACGCAUUAAGCGCCCCGCCUGGGGAGUACGGCCGCAAGGCUA